AGAUUACUUUGACAUCCAGUCUGCAUUUUAGACUGAUUAGAUGACAGAAAGACCAGAGAAGCAGAAAAGAUAACUAAUGUGUCCCUGGCUUAAUACCUGGGUGAUGAAAUAAUAUGUACAACAAACUC